UAGCCGUAAACGAUACUCGCUAGGUGUCGGCCACGGUGCGACCGUUGUCGGUGCCGUAGGGAAGCCGUGAAGCGAGCCACCUGGGAAGUACGGCCGCAAGGCUGAAACUUAAAGGAAUUGGCGGGGGAGCACAACAACGGGUGGAGCUUGCGGUUUAAUUGGAUUCAACGCCGGAAAUCUUACCGGGACCGACAGCAACAUGAAGGCCAAGCUGAAGACUUUGCCGGAUUAGCUGAGAGGAGGUGCAUGGCGUAGUCG
rnacentral:rRNA from 1 species